GAGGGUAUAGCUCAAUGGUACAGUGCAUGCCUAGCAUGCAGGAGGUCCUGGGUUCAAUCCCCAGUACCUCCA
rnacentral:tRNA from 1 species